GCUCGCUUCGGCAGCACAUAUUAAAGUUGGAAUGAUACAGAGAAGAUUAGCAUGGUCCCUGCACAAGGAUGACACGCGGAAAAAAAAAAAAAAAAAAAAAAAA